AUUGAACGCCGGCGGCAUGCUUUACACAUGCAAGUCGAACGGUAACGGGGACUUCGGUCUGCCGACGAGUGGCGAACGGGUGAGUAAUAUAUCGGAACGUGCCCAGUAAUGGGGGAUAGCUCGGCGAAAGCCGGAUUAAUACCGCAUACGCCCUGAGGGGGAAAGUGGGGGAUCUUCGGACCUCACGUUAUUGGAGCGGCCGAUAUCAGAUUAGCUAGUUGGUGGGGUAAAGGCCUACCAAGGCGACGAUCUGUAGCUGGUCUGAGAGGAUGAUCAGCCACACUGGGACUGAGACACGGCCCAGACUCCUACGGGAGGCAGCAGUGGGGAAUUUUGGACAAUGGGCGCAAGCCUGAUCCAGCAAUGCCGCGUGUGUGAAGAAGGCCUCGGUUGUAAGCACUUUGUUCGGAACGAAAGACGAUGGAGUAAUACCUUGUCGUGCUGACGGUACC
rnacentral:rRNA from 1 species